GGAUGAACGCUAGCGGCAGGCUUAACACAUGCAAGUCGAGGGGUAUAGUAGCAAUACUAGAGACCGGCGCACGGGUGCGUAACGCGUAUGCAAUCUACCUUUUGCAGAGGGAUAGCCCAGAGAAAUUUGGAUUAAUACCUCAUAGUAUAGUGAUACCGCAUGGUGCUACUAUUAAAGUCACAACGGCAAAAGAUGAGCAUGCGUCCCAUUAGCUAGUUGGUAAGGUAACGGCUUACCAAGGCAACGAUGGGUAGGGGUCCUGAGAGGGAGAUUCCCCCACACUGGUACUGAGACACGGACCAGACUCCUACGGGAGGCAGCAGUGAGGAAUAUUGGACAAUGGGCGCAAGCCUGAUCCAGCCAUGCCGCGUGCAGGAUGACGGUCCUAUGGAUUGUAAACUGCUUUUAUACGAGAAGAAACACUCCGACGUGUCGGAGCUUGACGGUAUCGUAAGAAUAAGGAUCGGCUAACUCCGUGCCAGCAGCCGCGGUAAUACGGAGGAUCCAAGCGUUAUCCGGAAUCAUUGGGUUUAAAGGGUCCGU
rnacentral:rRNA from 1 species